rnacentral:misc_RNA from 1 species
GGACGGUAGCGCGCGCCGCUCAAACUUGUUGCGAGACCAAUUUUCCGAAAAUCCCAAAUUCUCUGCGGUGCAUUGGCCAGUUCACCCAAAAACACCCACACACACCAUCACUGUCUCACUUUCGUUUCGCGAUUGAUUGCCAGCUCUCCGGAGACCAAGAACCAAAAUAAUAGAAAAAGGCACCCGAUACCAAACCGCAAACCGAUCGAGUUACAAAAAAAAACACAAAAAUAAAGAAACUAAACAAAAGUAAAUCGCCUAGCAAAGAGCCUUCAAGACGGCAGCCACAAUUUCCAGCGCAGGAUUAGGAGGAGACGUCGCCGCGUACGCUGAUCUCCACCAGCACUCGCAUUCGCACCAUCCGAAUCCGCAUCCACAUCCGCAUCCACAUCCCCAUCCGUUUGCCACCGACGGCUUCAAGCUGCGUUCCGAAGAGCCGGUGCCGGGCUUCAGCUCGGCCUCCCCCUGGCCCACCCUGGAGCUGGGCAUGGAGUGGGGCCGGAAGCUGUACCCCAGUGCCGUUUCCGGUCCGCGAUCCGCCAGCGGCCUGAUGUUCGGCCUGCCGCCCACCGCCGCUGUGGACAUGAACCAGCCGCGUGGACCGAUGACCUCGCUGAAGGAGGAGCCGCUGGGCAGCCGGUGGGCCAUGCAGCCAGUCGUCGACCAGAGCAAUUUGGGCAUCGGCCGCGCCCACUUUGAGAAGCAGCCGCCCAGCAAUUUGCGCAAGUCGAACUUCUUCCACUUCGUGAUCGCCUUAUAUGAUCGGGCUGGACAGCCCAUCGAGAUUGAGCGCACGGCCUUCAUUGGAUUCAUCGAGAAGGACUCGGAGUCGGACGCCACCAAGACGAACAAUGGCAUCCAGUACCGACUGCAGUUGCUCUACGCAAAUGGAGCUCGCCAGGAGCAGGACAUUUUCGUGCGACUCAUCGAUUCGGUGACCAAGCAGGCCAUCAUAUACGAGGGUCAGGACAAGAAUCCCGAGAUGUGCCGCGUGCUCCUAACGCACGAGGUGAUGUGCAGCCGCUGCUGUGAUAAGAAGAGCUGUGGUAACCGCAACGAGACGCCAUCGGACCCCGUCAUUAUUGAUCGCUUCUUCCUGAAGUUCUUCUUGAAGUGCAAUCAAAACUGCCUGAAGAACGCCGGCAACCCGCGGGAUAUGCGCCGAUUUCAGGUGGUAAUUUCUACGCAGGUGGCCGUGGAUGGACCACUACUGGCCAUCUCCGACAACAUGUUCGUGCACAACAACUCGAAGCACGGACGGAGGGCCAAGCGGCUGGACACCACGGAAGGUACAGGCAACACAUCCCUGUCCAUUUCCGGUCACCCCCUAGCGCCCGACAGUACCUACGAUGGUCUUUACCCACCGCUGCCAGUGGCCACGCCGUGCAUUAAGGCGAUCUCGCCCAGCGAAGGCUGGACAACCGGUGGCGCCACCGUGAUCAUAGUGGGCGACAACUUCUUCGAUGGCCUCCAGGUUGUGUUCGGUACCAUGCUGGUCUGGAGCGAGCUGAUCACCUCGCAUGCCAUCCGGGUGCAGACACCGCCCAGGCACAUUCCCGGCGUGGUGGAGGUGACGCUGUCCUACAAGAGCAAACAGUUCUGCAAGGGAUCACCCGGUCGCUUCGUCUAUGUCUCUCUCAACGAACCCACAAUCGACUACGGUUUCCAGCGCCUGCAGAAGCUCAUUCCCCGGCAUCCCGGCGAUCCCGAGAAGCUCCAAAAGGAGAUAAUCCUCAAGAGGGCCGCCGAUCUGGUCGAGGCACUAUACUCCAUGCCCAGAUCUCCGGGCGGUUCGACGGGCUUCAAUUCCUAUGCGGGCCAACUGGCGGUCAGUGUCCAGGAUGGUACCGGCCAGUGGACCGAGGACGACUACCAGCGUGCCCAGUCGAGCAGCGUGAGUCCACGCGGUGGCUACUGCAGCAGCGCCUCCACGCCGCACAGCUCGGGAGGAUCCUACGGUGCCACGGCGGCCAGUGCAGCGGUGGCGGCCACGGCGAAUGGAUAUGCACCUACACCCAACAUGGGCACACUCUCCUCGUCGCCCGGCAGCGUCUUCAACUCCACGUCAAUGUCCGCCGUGUCGUCGACGUGGCACCAGGCGUUCGUGCAGCACCACCACGCGGCAACGGCCCACCCGCACCACCACUACCCACAUCCCCACCAGCCGUGGCACAAUCCGGCCGUGUCAGCAGCCACGGCGGCGGCCGUUUAAGCGUUUCCCGGACUCCCCAUGCCAGCCAGAUGGAGCUGAACGCAGGAUGAAGAUGUGGAGGAGGAUGAGGAUGAUGUACCAGGUUGAGCCGGACUUUUGGGGCCGAGUAACGACAUUUUGUUGAAAUUAAAUGCCACACGCCCAACACCACCCACAACCACCCACAAACCACCCACAAGUCCGAGCGAAAAGCGCACACACACGGCCAGACACCAUCUAUCAAUCCGAAACUGCAAGGACGCCCACAAUUGGCCCUCGGGUGUGUGAAUGGGUGUGUGGAUGGGGCCGCUGAAGCAAAACUGAGCAUUCAAAACACUACUCCACCAUCAACAAAACACCACAGACAACACACGAUUAACGGGGUCAGCAGUCUGAGCUUCAAUCCCUUCGCCCUGCCCACCUGCAACACACAGGGCUACAGCACCCAACUGGUGACGUCAACCAAAUAAU